UACAGAGGGGGCAAGCGUUGUUCGGAAUUACUGGGCGUAAAGGGCGCGUAGGCGGCCUGCUAAGUCGAACGUGAAAUCCCCGAGCUCAACUCGGGAACUGCGUCCGAUACUGGCAGGCUUGAAUCCGGGAGAGGGAUGCGGAAUUCCAGGUGUAGCGGUGAAAUGCGUAGAUAUCUGGAGGAACACCGAUGGCGAAGGCAGGUCUCUGGGCAUUAACUGACGCUGAGGAGCGAAAGCAUGGGGAGCGAACAGG
rnacentral:rRNA from 1 species